CUAUUUUCCUAUUCCUUGGACAAGAAAAUCGUGUUUACAUUGCGAAGCAUCUUGGUCUAUUAUACAGAGUAUUGUUGUACUGCUCCAAAGUGCUUGUUGACAGACUGAAACCACUUGCAUGCGGCUCAUAAGGUUCACUUCUUGAGAUCAGGCAGCUACAAAAUGCAAGGUCAACAAAUCCAGUAUACUUGAAAAGCAAGAAAGAAACACCAGAAAAUAUAAAAAGACAGAAGAACAAUGGAACUUUAAUAAAAAAAACAAACUUUUAAGGAUAGGAAUUCAGGAUUUAUUUAGAAACUAAAUUUAUUUUGAGAACAGCAGUGUUUGACUAAGCUCUGUUACUUUAAGAGAUAAUGUAUUAUCACAUUGGUUUUGUUAUUGUCAUGCCCUCUUGCGGAAGCGAAGACAUAGUUGUCCAAUUGUCUAUUCGGUGUAUGUGCGUGCGUGCAUCUGUCCGUCCGGAUUUGUUUGUCCGGACCUUAAUUUGGACAUGCAUGGAGCAAUCUUGUUUAUUUAUGGUAUGAAUGUUAACCUCAGUGAGACGGAGUGUCAUGCGCAAACCCCAGGUUCCUAUCUCAAAGGUCAAGAUCACACUUACAGGUCAAAGGUCGAAUUCAAAAAUGACUUUGUCCGGAGCAGUUCUUCUUCAUGCAUGGAGGGAUUUUGAUGUAACUUGGCACAAUUGUUCACCAUCAUGAGAUGGAGUGUCAUGCGCAAGAACCAGGUCCCUAGGUCUAAGGUCAAGGUCACACUUAGAGGUCAAAGGAACUUUGUCUGGAGCAUUUCUUCUUCAUGCAUGGAGGGACUUUGAUGUAACUUGGCACAAAUGUUCACCACCAUGAGACGGAGUGUCUUGCGGAAGAACCAGGUCCCUAGGUCUAAGGUCAAGAUCACACUUAAGAGGUCAAAGGUCAAAUUCAAAAAUGACUGUCCGGAGCAUUUCUUCUUCAUGCAUGGAGGGAUUUUGAUGUAACUUGGCACAAUUGUUCACCAUCAUGAGAUGGAGUGUCAUGCGCAAGAACCAGGUCCCUAGGUCUAAGGUCAAGGUCACACUUAGAGGUCAAAGGAUACAAGAAUGACAACUUUGUCUGGAGCAUUUCUUCUUCAUGCAUGGAGGGACUUUGAUGUAACUUGGCACAAAUGUUCACCACUAUGAGACGGAGUGUCAUGCGGAAGAACCAGGUCCCUAGGUCUAAGGUCAAGAUCACACUUAAGAGGUCAAAAGUCAGAUACAAGAAUGACUUUGUCUGGAGCAUUUCUUUUUGAUGCAUAGAGGGAUUUUGAUGUAACUUGGCACAAUUGUUCAUCAUCAUGCGACGGAGUGUCAUGCAUAAGAUCCUAGAAUUACUUCCCUUUGUUGUUACUAUAAAUAGCUUACAUUUGUAACUUUUUUAUUACUGGUCGUAGGGAAAAAUCAAGACCACUUUUCUGUAGUACAAGAUGCAUGUUACAUCCAAUUUUCAGGUGUAUUUUGACCUAUCUCUGCUGGUGCGGAUUUUUGUGUGGACUUAGAAUUUUUUUUAUAUUUUUUUUUUUUUAAAUUUUUUUAAAAAUUUUUUUUUUAAUUUUACGUUCCUUUGUUGUUACUGUAAAUAACUUAUAUUGUAACUUUUUGCAAUCUCUUUUAUUUGGCAUAAAUGUUUGCCUCAAUGAGACAAGGAGUGUCAUGCACAACUCCCAGUCCUUUUGACAGCUGGCGGGCUUGACAUAUUGCCCGUGGGCAUCUAGUUCUCAUAUUUUUCAUGAGAUUUUAAAGAGAAUGUUCUGUUAUACCCCCAUGUAGUAAGCUUGUCUGUCUUUCAGUCAGUAGGUUUUUUAUGGCUUCCAGAUGAUA